GUUUCCGUAGGUGAACCUGCAGAUGGAUCAUCGCU
rnacentral:rRNA from 1 species